UACGUAGGGUCCGAGCGUUGUCCGGAAUUAUUGGGCGUAAAGGGCUCGUAGGCGGUUCGUCACGUCGGGAGUGAAAACUCGGAGCUUAACUCCGAGCCUGCUUCCGAUACGGGCAGACUAGAGGUAGGCAGGGGAGAGCGGAACUCCUGGUGUAGCGGUGAAAUGCGCAGAUAUCAGGAGGGACACCGGUGGCGAAGGCGGAUCUCUGGGCCGUAACUGACGCUGAGGAGCGAAAGCAUGGGGAGCGAACAGG
rnacentral:rRNA from 1 species